rnacentral:rRNA from 1 species
UACGUAGGGUGCAAGCGUUGUCCGGAAUUAUUGGGCGUAAAGAGCUCGUAGGCGGUUUGUCGCGUCUGCUGUGAAAACCCGAGGCUCAACCUCGGGCCUGCAGUGGGUACGGGCAGACUAGAGUGCGGUAGGGGAGAUUGGAAUUCCUGGUGUAGCGGUGGAAUGCGCAGAUAUCAGGAGGAACACCAAUGGCGAAGGCAGAUCUCUGGGCCGUAACUGACACUGAGAGACGAAAGCGAGGGGAGCAAAUGGG